AAAAAAUAAAAAAGAUAGCCCCUCAUCUAUUUCUCUCUCCAGUCUCUAUGCUUUGCCUUUGGAGUCAAGUACCUUCUCCUUUGUCUCCGCUCCCAUCUGAGACAAUCUUUUUCUGCCGAUGGUAAGCGAUUAAAAGUAAAUAGAGAGAUUUGUUUUCUCUUUGUUUCACCUUCAUUUUAAUUGACAACCAAUUUCCUAUUGGUUUUUUGUGAGCUUUGCAAAAUUGGGAUUGAAGAAGCAAAAUCAAGAUGCCGUGGACGUCCUCUUUUGAUUCAAAUUCGUAAAAGCUUUCUUACUAUAUUUCUCUCUCCAUGUGGUGUGAGAUUAGUCAUAGUUGGGAGACCACCAUUGCAUCGAUUACUCUCUACCUAUCCAUCAUUUCUCACCAACACAUCUCUUGAAUCCGAGGUACUUAAUGGGAUUUUGUAGAAUUUUUGGUGUUUUGGUUGCUUUUAGUUCAAGUGAAUUCCAUGAGGUGAAUUUCAUGUAAGAUGUUGUUAAGAUUUGCAAUAGAAAUUAGAUGUGCAGUUGACCUGAAGCACUUGUAUAACCUUUGUUCAAACAAUAAUGAGCCAUCAUAGCCAGUGAGUGAGAUGUAAUGAACUCUCUAACCAUUGGCAUUAUUGUUAAGUUUUUUCAUCUUUCUUUGUAAAAAUUCAU